CCCUUAGAUGUUCUGGGCCGCACGCGCGCUACACUGAUGCAUUCAACGAGUCCAACCUUGACCGAGAGGUCCGGGUAAUCUUUGAAACUACAUCGUGAUGGGGCUAGAUUAUUGCAAUUAUUAAUCUUCAACGAGGAAUGCCUAGUAAGCGUGAUUCAUCAAAUCGCGUUGAUUACGUCCCUGCCCUUUGUACACACCGCCCGUCGCUCCUACCGAUUGAGUGUGUUGGUGAGGAGUUUGGAUUGGCCUCGGAAGGUGGUUCGCCACCGUCCGUAGCUGAGAAGUUCUCCAAACCGCCCCACUUAGAGGAAGGAGAANUCGUANCA
rnacentral:rRNA from 1 species